UUGUCCAACUCAUGGAAUACUUAGUAAAGUGGCUAGACCACCCUUCAUGCUGGCCCUGCUCCCUUCAUUCUCUCCAUACUCUGCAAACAUGUUCAGUGAAGCAUGCUGGAGGCAGUGAGUGAAUACCAUCAGUGGCUGCUGUGAGAUACCAGCUGCAUUCAGGCAAGAUACAAGCUGAACAGCUCUGACAGCAUCUGCUGUGUGUGAGACAGCCAUCUGAAGACAUGUACAUAGACUGGAAGCCACCUUCUUGACUUUCUUCCCUGGACUGUGCUGGGAGCCACAUCUGGUCAGUAGAGUCUCAGAAACCGGAAUUAACUGGAGGUAUAAGUUGAGGCCUGGGUUAAUUGUGAAUGAAAUAACCCAGGUCUGGUCUCUCUCAGGGUAGCUGGUCUUAUUUCCCAGCCCUACAGCCUGGCAUCCCUGACCUCUUGAAAAGCACAAGGCAAGAAUGGGAGAUCUCUUCGGCCUUUUCCUGUGCCAACUUUUGCUUUCCUCUUGUCCUCCUACCUUGAGACAGAUGCUGCUUGCAAAGCUGUUGGAGUUGGCUGCUUGGGGACAUGCCAAGGCAGGAGGACUGAAUUCCCUGAGGGCUUACCAGCUGAAUUUCUUGUCCCGCUACCACAGAGCUUGCCUCUGGACCCAAGAAUGGAGCCUUGGCCUCUGUUUGGAAGAUAUACUCAGGAAAUCUGGCCAUCUAUGGCAUUCAGUAUCAGGAGACAGAGGGACAGACAAGUGCCCUCUCAGGAAGCUAUCCACUUUCACAUCCAUGGAUCCAUGACAGACAGAGAUGGCAGAGAUGAUGGGACACCAGUCAUUUCUACUCAGGCAAAUGCACUGUGCCCAGAUGGUCAGGAGCUUCUGGAUAUGAAUGAAGGUUGGCCUCCCUGCUCCAGGCACAAGAGAAAAGAAAGUAUAAUAAUAAAUACUGCUGCAUCUUAAACCUA